GAUGAACGCUGGCGGCGUGCCUAAUACAUGCAAGUCGAGCGAACAGACGAGGAGCUUGCUCCUCUGACGUUAGCGGCGGACGGGUGAGUAACACGUGGAUAACCUACCUAUAAGACUGGGAUAACUUCGGGAAACCGGAGCUAAUACCGGAUAAUAUAUUGAACCGCAUGGUUCAAUAGUGAAAUACGGUUUUGCUGUCUCGUAUAGAUGGAUCCGCGCCGCAUUAGCUAGUUGGUAAGGUAACGGCUUACCAAGGCAACGAUGCGUAGCCGACCUGAGAGGGUGAUCGGCCACACUGGAAGUGAGACACGGUCCAGACUCCUACGGGAGGCAGCAGUAGGGAAUCUUCCGCAGUGGGCGAAAGCCUGACGGAGCAACGCCGCGUGAGUGAUGAAGGUCUUCGGAUCGUAAAACUCUGUUAUUAGGGAAGAACCAAUGUGUAAGUAACUAUGCACGUCUUGACGGUACCUAAUCAGAAAGCCACGGCUAACUACGUG
rnacentral:rRNA from 1 species